AUACGGAGGGGACUAGCGUUGUUCGGAUUUACUGGGCGUAAAGCGCGCGUAGGCGGUUUGGAAAGUCAGAUGUGAAAUCCCAGGGCUCAACCCUGGAACUGCAUUUGAAACUAUCAGACUAGAGAUUGGGAGAGGUAAGUGGAAUUCCGAGUGUAGAGGUGAAAUUCGUAGAUAUUCGGAGGAACACCAGAGGCGAAGGCGACUUACUGGACCAAUACUGACGCUGAGGUGCGAAAGCGUGGGGAGCAAACAGGAUUAGAUACCCUAGUAGUCC
rnacentral:rRNA from 1 species